CGUCUUUAUACUUGUCCCGGUUGUUUUGGUAACUGUAAGGACUCCAUUUGUCGAAUACCCACAUGAGGAAACUGAAAAUAGUAAAAAAAACGAUAACCGACCAAAUGGAAGAGUUGACAAUUGAAAGCAGCAUCCGCGAUAAUCAUCUCCUAAUUUGACAAAGUUACAAAAUGUGCAGAACAGUCAAGACACUCUUCUUGGACCUCUAUGUGGCGGUAAUAAAUGCGAAAUUGCAAUGAAAUUGGGUAAAAUGACGUGCAUGACUGUACAAUUGCUUAUUCUGUGGCGCUGUGCUUGAAGCGUAAAUUAUUGCAACAAGCAACAGACCCGCUAGUGCUCGCCCUACCAUGGCGAUAAAAACUGAACACUCCUCUUUAAUAUUGGAUAACUGGUAAUUAAAGCGCAAACCAUGAGAAUUCUGAGAAAGGCAUUCAUCGUUAUAAUAACGCAAACGUGACGAUAAAUUGUCAACAAAAUAAAUGCUACCUAAUUCUUGAGAAGUUACCUAUUAUUUACGUAUCUAUUAAGUAUCUACCUAAUUAUUAGUCAUCAUAUACCUAAUCCAUCAUGUAAUUAACCAAACAAAAUUAAUAAAAGUAUUUUAUUUC